rnacentral:rRNA from 1 species
CAGUAGCCACGGGAAUACGAAGGGUGCAAGCGUUACUCGGAAUUACUGGGCGUAAAGCGUGCGUAGGUGGUGGUUUAAGUCCGUUGUGAAAGCCCUGGGCUCAACCUGGGAAUUGCAGUGGAUACUGGGUCACUAGAGUGUGGUAGAGGAUAGUGGAAUUUCCGGUGUAGCAGUGAAAUGCGUAGAGAUCGGAAGGAACAUCUGUGGCGAAGGCGACUAUCUGGGCCAACACUGACACUGAGGCACGAAAGCGUGUGGAGCAAACAGGAUUAGAUACCCGGGUAGUCCCUGUCUCUUAUAC